rnacentral:lncRNA from 1 species
UUGCCUACGGAUGGUGUGACAGGAGACGUGUGUCCUGCGGGGGCAUAUUGCCCACCUGGGUCCCCCUUACCCAUCCCCUGUCCUCCAGGAACCUACAGCAAUGUGAGUGGGCUGAGAAGCCUCCAUCAGUGCUUGGACUGCCCACCUGGCCUUUAUUGCCACGGGGCAAAUACCCAAGCUCCCUCGGGACCAUGUGAACCUGGAUACUACUGUACAGGAGGUGCCAAAAGUGCUCUUCAGCAGAUGGUCAUGGAGGGGCAUUAUUCCUCAGCAGGAGCUUUCAAGCCAGAGCCGUGUCCUCUUGGCAGCUUCCAGCCUGACCGUGGUCAGUCUCAUUGCAGGGACUGUCCAGAGGGUACGUUCUGCAAUGAGACAGGUCUGGCUGAAGCCCAGCCUUGUCCAAAAGGGCAUUUUUGCUUAGGAGGAAGUUCCCUGCCUCUCCCGUGUCCAGUGGUAAGAAUCCAACAUUGUUGUGUUUUUUAAAUAGUAAUUUUCAGGAAGUUUCCAAUCCCUUGGAGGAGGGUAUUCAUUAGUUCUGUUUUUGUGCAGGGAAUGUAUGCAGAUGUGCUCGGGGCAGGUUCAUGCAAGCCCUGCCCAGCAGGCAUGUACUGCAGCAUGGCUGGUCUGGCUGAGCCAGAAGGACCUUGCCAGCCUGGGUAUUACUGCAAUCAAGGGUCCAGCAGCUCCUCACCUGUGGGCCUUUUAUUUGGAGAUCUUUGUCAACCAGGAUAUUACUGCCCUGCUGGGACAACACACCCAAAAGAGAUGGCAUGUCCUGCUGGCACCUGGAACGGCCGGAGGGGAGCCCAGGAUGCCACUUGGUGUCUUCCUUGUGCCCCUGGGUUUUUCUGCAGUAUGUCUGGCCAAGAUGCUCCCGUAGGACUUUGUGCACAAGGCUAUUACUGCACGGGAAGGGCAAAGACUGCAAAGCCAGUGGAUGGUGUCACUGGAGAUAUCUGUCCUCGAGGACAUUUCUGCCCUGCAGGCUCAGCAGCACCUUCUCCCUGCCCCAGUGGUGAAUACAGCAAUGCAACAGGUCAAGACAAAUGUUUUCCGUGUCCUGCUGGGUUCCACUGUCCUAAAGGGCUGAGACGCCGCUGUCCUCCUGGCUUUUAUUGCCCUCAGAGAACUGGAAUCAGUUUUUAUCCUUGUCCCCCUGGGACUUUCAAUCCCUCUUACGGCCUCAGCCAGGCUGAGAGGUGCCAGCAGUGCCCUGCAGGAAUGUUCUGUGAAGACUGGGGACUCUCCUCUCCAAGCGGUCCCUGCUGGCCAGGGUUCUUCUGCACAGCAGGAGCAAGUGUCCCAAACCCUGAUGGAGCCACGAACACCAGCACUGGUGGCCCAUGCCCACCUGGACACUUCUGCCCAGCUGGCACAAGUAUCCCACAGCAAUGCCCUGUGGGCACUUACUCAGACAGGUGAGCUUCUGUAUUUGCCUUUCCUCUUUGUUUUAUCCCUCUGUCCCUACUGCUGACUAUCUGGUGCCGUUCUUUCUUGCCUACAGAGUCCUUUACCCCCUUACAGUACAGCUCAGUAACGCUCAUUAAACACAUCUUUGCAUUAAUUAUGAAAGCCUCAUGGUUGUUUUCACUUGGCCAGGGGUAUAAGCAUCGAGGGUCUGCCUGCUGAACUUGUACACUUGCCAACAGAAAGCCUGAUGAUGUCUCUCCACAGGCCGUACAUGUGGCAGGAAUCCAGCUGCACGGCGUGCCCAUCUGGCCAUUACUGUGGCUCUGCUGCCCUCACAGCACCCUCAGGGCUCUGCUCAGCUGGGUACUACUGCCUGCCCGGGGCUUCCUCUCCAUCACCACAUGGUGAGUUGUACUGCAUGAACGUCAGUGUCUUCACCUGCUUGUGUCCGAUAAUGAGUGGUCUUGGCAACAGACAGCUUUAAAAAAUGCCCUCUUUUCCCCCAGUACUCCUGCCUCUCCUUCUUCUUUGUCAUUUAAGCACCUAGUUAAUUUUGUUGGUGCUAUUUAUACCAGUGCACACACGCCAAGGAUGAAGAAGCAGGCAGUCCACCAAUCCAUGUUACUGAAUGAAACACUUUCACUGAACACUGGGAAAGUUCUGGCUACCAGAAUAUAGUGCAAGUGGCCCAGUUCCCUCUUGUCUCUUUAUUGUGCGUCAGAAAUAACGAUUUCCAGGGAAGAAUUCCAGGUCCCCAGUGGACAACUAAAUAUUCU